rnacentral:rRNA from 1 species
GAUGAACGCUGACAGAAUGCUUAACACAUGCAAGUCAACUUGACUUUGGGUUUUUAACUUAGGUUUGGGUGGCGGACGGGUGAGUAACGCGUAAAGAACUUGCCUCACAGCUAGGGACAACAUUUGGAAACGAAUGCUAAUACCUAAUAUUAUGAUAAUAGGGCAUCCUAUAAUUAUGAAAGCUAUAAGCGCUGUGAGAGAGCUUUGCGUCCCAUUAGCUAGUUGGAGAGGUAACGGCUCACCAAGGCGAUGAUGGGUAGCCGGCCUGAGAGGGUGAUCGGCCACAAGGGGACUGAGACACGGCCCUUACUCCUACGGGAGGCAGCAGUGGGGAAUAUUGGACAAUGGACCGAGAGUCUGAUCCAGCAAUUCUGUGUGCACGAUGAAGUUUUUAGGAAUGUAAAGUGGUUUCAGUUGGGAAGAAACAAAUGACGGUACCAACAGAAGAAGUGACGGCUAAAUACGUG